rnacentral:tRNA from 1 species
AGGGGGGGAUAAGACCUGCUA